ensembl:snoRNA small nucleolar RNA U85
GCUCAGUGAUGAUAUAAAGGCUAAUGUGACUUGACCAGCUGGGUUGCACCCUCAGCCCAUUCCAGUAAUACAGGUCUGUAAUCUUGGUGGACAACGCUGAGCUGUGCGUGUUCGCUGUAAGGGCAGGCCAACAGAAAAUCCACUUCCCUGCAUCCCUGGAAGAUAUAUCUUUGGGAUGCAUCAGCUCCAUGCAAGUGUUUCUGUGAGCUGAUGUGGGGAUGUGGGGAUAGGAUAAGACAGUGCAUCCAAGGUUUGGGUUGCAGGGAGCAGCCCAUGUUACAGCUGGUGAGAUGUGAGCACACAUCUUUGGUAAUCUGAUGACU